rnacentral:sRNA from 1 species
CUAUUUCUCAUGCACCACGUAUAGCAACAGAAAUAAAUAAAGCCUCUCAUUAGCCGCGCGAAUCGCUGUAAUUACGGAUCCUAUUCACAACAGCAAUACAUUACUCUGUUUUGCUGGUACUUCCUAGAAGAAAGGGGCCCAAAGAGGCCCCUUUCU